rnacentral:rRNA from 1 species
GAUGAACGCUGGCGGCGUGCUUAACACAUGCAAGUCGAGCGAAGCGCUCACGCGGAAUUUUUCGGAAGGAAGCGGGAGCGACUUAGCGGCGGACGGGUGAGUAACGCGUGGGUAACCUGCCCCAUACCGGGGGAUAACGGUUAGAAAUGACCGCUAAUACCGCUUAAGCGCACGAGGCCGCAUGGCCGCGCGCGAAAAACUCCGGUGGUAUGGGAUGGGCCCGCGUCUGAUUAGCUAGUUGGCGGGGUAAAGGCCCACCAAGGCGACGAUCAGUAGCCGACCUGAGAGGGUGGCCGGCCACAUUGGGACUGAGACACGGCCCAA